rnacentral:rRNA from 1 species
AGAUUAAGUUAUUAAGGGCGCACGGUGGAUGCCUUGGCACUAGAAGCCGAUGAAGGACGUUACUAACGACGAUAUGCUUUGGGGAGCUGUAAGUAAGCUUUGAUCCAGAGAUUUCCGAAUGGGGAAACCCAGCAUGAGUUAUGUCAUGUUAUCGAUAUGUGAAUACAUAGCAUAUCAGAAGGCACACCCGGAGAACUGAAACAUCUUAGUACCCGGAGGAAGAGAAAGAAAAUUCGAUUCCCUUAGUAGCGGCGAGCGAAACGGGAAGAGCCCAAACCAACAAGCUUGCUUGUUGGGGUUGUAGGACACUCUAUACGGAGUUACAAAGGACGACAUUAGACGAAUCAUCUGGAAAGAUGAAUCAAAGAAGGUAAUAAUCCUGUAGUCGAAAAUGUUGUCUCUCUUGAGUGAAUCCUGAGUACGACGGAGCACGUGAAAUUCCGUCGGAAUCUGGGAGGACCAUCUCCUAAGGCUAAAUACUCUCUAGUGACCGAUAGUGAACCAGUACCGUGAGGGAAAGGUGAAAAGCACCCCGGAAGGGGAGUGAAAUAGAACCUGAAACCGUGUGCUUACAAGUAGUCAGAGCCCGUUAAUGGGUGAUGGCGUGCCUUUUGUAGAAUGAACCGGCGAGUUACGAUUUGGUGCAAGGUUAAGCAGUAAAUGUGGAGCCGUAGCGAAAGCGAGUCUGAAUAGGGCGUUUAGUAUUUGGUCGUAGACCCGAAACCAGGUGAUCUACCCUUGGUCAGGUUGAAGUUCAGGUAACACUGAAUGGAGGACCGAACCGACUUACGUUGAAAAGUGAGCGGAUGAACUGAGGGUAGCGGAGAAAUUCCAAUCGAACCUGGAGAUAGCUGGUUCUCUCCGAAAUAGCUUUAGGGCUAGCCUCAAGUGAUGAUUAUUGGAGGUAGAGCACUGUUUGGACGAGGGGCCCCUCUCGGGUUACCGAAUUCAGACAAACUCCGAAUGCCAAUUAAUUUAACUUGGGAGUCAGAACAUGGGUGAUAAGGUCCGUGUUCGAAAGGGAAACAGCCCAGACCACCAGCUAAGGUCCCAAAAUAUAUGUUAAGUGGAAAAGGAUGUGGCGUUGCCCAGACAACUAGGAUGUUGGCUUAGAAGCAGCCAUCAUUUAAAGAGUGCGUAAU